rnacentral:lncRNA from 10 species
CUCUGAAGCUGCUGAAUGCUUGCAGGCACAGAGGUCUCCUGGUUCUCAGACUUUUCCACUACUCCCUUUUCUGGGAGAUUUUAGGUAAAACACUGAGCAGACCUCAGACCUUUUGUUGCAAGGCGGUAAAGAUAGCAUUUACUAAAGGAGGCUUUGUAGCCAUCGGAGAGCUGUUUGCUUCGUGAUGAGCCUGGAUAUUGAAGGAAGAGGUGUGGGUGUUCAGAUAACGAGCUGGGUUGUCUCUGGGAGUAAACGGAAGGCCAGUGAGGUCCUGGAAGACAGUCCGGCUCACAGGAAGUGCUCAACAAACACCUGCUAAAUGAAAAGAAAUAAAUGCCUCCGUGGAAGAGCACUGCAGACCUUCUGAAUUCUGAAUUCAGGAUUAGAGGAUUUUGGAAUGAAUCGUGUUGUUUCC